rnacentral:rRNA from 1 species
UACGAAGAGUGCUAGCGUUGUUCGGAAUCACUGGGCGUAAAGCGCGCGUAGGCGGCCAAUCAAGUCAGGGGUGAAAUGCCACGGCUCAACCGUGGAACUGCCUUUGAAACUGAUUGGCUGGAAGAUGAGAGGGGAUAGCGGAAUUUCUGGUGUAGAGGUGAAAUUCGUAGAUACCAGAAGGAACACCGGUGGCGAAGGCGGCUAUCUGGCUCAUUCUUGACGCUCUGGCGCGAAAGCGUGGGGAUCAAACAGG